GCUGAUGCCAUUUUCAGCCUCAGCACGCCUGCACCCAGGCGCUCAUUAAAACAGCAUGUUGCUCCCCACUGCCUCGUGUUGUCUGUUGGCGCGCUGUCGGGGUUCGAACCGAUACAAGAACCUUCCACCUACCUGGUGCUUUGGCCUCAUCUAUAAGCUUUUCCACUGUCCUGAAACAAGAUAGAGAAUCUGAGCGGCCAGUCAUCUGCCCUAAGUGCUGCCGCCGAAGACUGAAUGUCCUGGAAAGUUUGCUGUCACAUCUCCAUUAUGACAAAAGCAUUGUGCCGAACAGAUGAAAAAAUGCAUUGUCAACGGAAUCUUUUAUGUUUGUUUGUCUUCCUUUAAGCAACAUUGCCUUACUUGUUAUAAAAGAUAAAUAAAUAUUUGUUCAUUUCAA
rnacentral:lncRNA from 10 species